CAGUUUGUCAGAGCAGUCCUGAGGUAAAUGCUAUGAGAGACUGGCAGCUGGCAGCGCCUGUGAGUGAGAGCAGAGCCGAGACCCUCUCGAGAGCCCUGGUGACGUCGGCCGUGAGGUCUUGCUGAUCCGCCCCAGAGGGCGGGUAAAGGUGGAGCCCAUUGACUGAGGGAUAGUGCGGAGGAGUGGCCUGCUCCAGCUGGGGAGCUGUGGGCGUACCCAUCACAUCAGCCCCAGCGUAAAGAGAGACUUGGAAAGGCGAACUGUGAAGCGAAGCCACUCGCCAUAUAAUGCUGUAGGAAGCCAGUUACAGCCGAGGCAACUGAAGAGCACUAUCAUGGCCACGCGGUUGGAUCCUGUGACCUCACUUCUGCAUCACAUGUUGUACACAGAGGUGUCGGGGCAGGAAGUCUGGACAACAUGGCCACAGUGAACACUGGUGGGGGGGAAUCAGUGGUGGCUCAAUAACGCGAUGCGCCGGGCGCUGACACGCUUUGGUAGCCUAGCAACGGUGACGUCAUCUUCAGCCGCCCGAAGCCGGAGCCGCCAGCGUCUCUCCCGCCCACCGCACCUGCGCCCGUGCUGACAUCAGGUGAGCA